rnacentral:rRNA from 1 species
GAUGAACGCUGGCGGCGUGCCUAAUACAUGCAAGUCGAGCGAACAGAUAAGGAGCUUGCUCCUUUGACGUUAGCGGCGGACGGGUGAGUAACACGUGGGUAACCUACCUAUAAGACUGGGAUAACUUCGGGAAACCGGAGCUAAUACCGGAUAAUAUUUCGAACCGCAUGGUUCGAUAGUGAAAGAUGGUUUUGCUAUCACUUAUAGAUGGACCCGCGCCGUAUUAGCUAGUUGGUAAGGUAACGGCUUACCAAGGCGACGAUACGUAGCCGACCUGAGAGGGUGAUCGGCCACACUGGAACUGAGACACGGUCCAGACCCCUACGGGAGGCAGCAGUAGGGAAUCUUCCGCAAUGGGCGAAAGCCUGACGGAGCAACGCCGCGUGAGUGAUGAAGGUCUUCGGAUCGUAAAACUCUGUCAUUAGGGAAGAACAUACGUGUAAGUAACUGUGCACGUCUUGACGGUACCUAAUCAGAAAGCCACGGCUAACUACGUG